UAUGUUCUGAUGCGAAAACCUCAACAAUAUUGUAAUUCUAAAUCACAGGUCUGUAUUAGAGAAUAUGUUGCUGUAUAUGACAACUCUGUUUGAGACAGGAGACAUCUUAACCUCAACAUCAUUUAGGAUUUGGAGUUGGAGUUUCAGGUAGUUGUAACUUCUGCAUGGUGCUGGAAACUAAACUUUGGUCAUCUGGAAGAUCAACAAGUACUCUUACCUGCUGAGCCACCUCUCCAGCCCUGAGAAAGGAUAGUCUAUAAUGGCUGGAUCAAAGGCAUUCCCAUUGAUGGUGAAAGAAAGUGCCUGAUUGUCUCUAUGCUUACCAGUGCCACAAGCUUUCAUUGUCUGCAUGAAGUCCUUGCUUUUCAGUGGCACAGUUAAGAUUGCAGUGCCUGGAAUGAGCAGCCCAUGAGAGCUCCCGUCAAGCUGAUUUCCAGUUGAAUGUGCUAUCUGGACCAUCUCCUCAAACAGAAUAUUGGAAUUCACAGGAAUUCGCAGAUUCUACAUCGUAACUCUGAAACACAGACCCGGGACAAAAAUCUAUGUGAGGCUGAAUUUUCUUCACAUACUUCAGAAUGUUUCAGAACAGAUUGGCUGCAGAAACAGUAUGAACAUGAGAGAGCAUCAUAAACUAGACAAAAAGACCUUGGUGGAAAAAAAAAAAACAAAACAGGUUGGAAAUUCUGCUUAGGAUGAGUACCUUGGAGCCUUUUUUUUUCCUUAUGGAAAUUCUGCUAUUUGCAAUACAAAUUCUUCCUGCUUUUCUGACACAAGGGGAUCCCACCACCAGUCCCUUUCUAUGGGGGAGAACUUGGACCAGCUCUGCUGUCAGUUUAUACAGUGAGAUCCUCACCAUAUGCAACUUUCAAGGCUGGAAAGAUGACACGCCGCCAAAAUGGCUGGGAAACAUGGAGAAGCAGAGAGCUCGUGGCUGGACCACCGUACAAGGAGAAGUGACUUCUGCGAAACUCCAUCGUGCUGCAGGCUGCUGCUGCUCUCCCUCCUUGGCUCUGCAGCUUUGUGACACUCACGUAGUA
rnacentral:sRNA from 1 species